UCCUUUUGUCGUGGCUGCUGCGCACCCUCCUCUCGCUCCUGGCGCUCCUCAGAUGUUGUCUCCAGCAUCAUCAUAAUCAUUAUAAUCGUCCGACUAAGGCAUGACACAUGCACGCACAGGCCUUGUGUAUCACGCAUGCUGCUCCCGCUUCAAAAGUCCCCGCCCCACAGCAACAGCAACAACAGCAGCAGCAGCAAGAAUACUGAUAGUCCCGGAGCCCAGAGUGAACUCGGCCCAGCCCUCAAAUCACACAAUUCGCUUCUCGAACCGCUCACCCCGACCUAACGCAACACCUCACAAGCUGUGUCUUUCACACCGACAGCGUAUUGUGGCUAAUGACCUUCAAUCGCGGCUUCAGAACGGCAAGAUAGUCAUGUACUCUGACGUAUUUAAGAAUUCCAGGCGAGGUUAAGACGACUAAACCAACUGAGGUUAGGCGGGCUUUGCGUGCAAGUUCGAAAAUUUCCCGUAAAUUCAUAGAACGCUGUCCUGUUGGGCAGCCGUGAUAAAGUCUGUAGUAAAGUGCAUACGUACAGAUCAGCCGGUUGCCGGCACGAAGGCAAAGCUGGACCAGCAGCGUAACAACAGCAGCAGGCGUGGCUUGGGCGCCAGCGAGGACGUUUUCCUCGGCAGGCCUCGACAUAUCUUAUGUCUAUUGACUGGUAGCUAGCGCCUGACGUCACCAUUAUGUCACAUGAUGAGGAAACGCUACCGUAUUACUAUGAGACUAAUGAAUGCACAGCGGACGCCAACUGCACGACGGCUGACGCCAGCGCUGUAUGUGACGAAGCCUUGAAAAGAUGCAUUUGUCUGCACGGACUUUUUCGAGAUACUACUAUCCCGGAAAUUCGGUGUGUGUAUGGCAAACGAUUGGACCAGUGGUGCAGCUCAACAAAACAAUGCUAUGUUGUCAACCGCAAUACGAGUUGUGUUGGCAGCUUUAUGCGGAGCUUAUGCAAAUGUCAACAUGGGUAAGACUUGACCACGAUACCCGCCUAUCCAUACACAUACAUAUAUAAGAUGUAUAUUUAAGGUUAGUAUGCUUUUAUGCGGUCGGGCACUUCAGUCGAAUAGCCCGAUGAAGGCAUGUUGUUUAUGGGAUUAACACGCGCAUGAAUCUUUAAAGAUGGUCGAAAGAUGGUUGCUUGUAAAAAUGUAGCCUUUUUUUCUAUAAAAUUUCUCGCCUAUUUUAAAUCAGUUAUUAUAUUUGUGCCUACCAUGCGUUCGCAGUUGUUCGUAAGCCUCGUAAUUAUUAUGCAAUAGUAACAUAUUGUCACACAAAACGCAUUCAGUAAAGCUGGACGUUAAAACUAGAUUGUUUUCCAGAAAAGAGCUAUAAUCCUGGCUAGAGAAGAUAGUUGCUUCAUCUAGUGCUAUCUAGUGCUAAAAUGGUUGGUUCAGUUAUUGUGAUUCCAACCUUCGCCGUCUAGAAGUAGUAUCAGCUAGUACCACUCGACUGACCUUUAUAAAAGUUCUUUUCGUUUAGCUUCGGCGUGCUGUCUACGCGAUACUAGGUCUGGGCAUCUCCUGCAGAAGCAAAAUGAAGGAUACGAAUGCCUUUGAUCUCAUUUGUGAUAUCCUCAAAGGAAAGAUUUCCCCCUUGAACGAUGCAAUGAAUGCAGAAAAUGCAAUUGAAGGUAAGUCAAUAUACCUCCCACGCUGUAACAUAAUUAACGAGCAGUUUUCGUCUCGCUUUACAAUUUGAUCGUACGUCGGCACUAGGCAGUACAAGGAUGCAUAUUCUUACGCUGUUUUUGCCGCAUUCAUAUCACUACAUAUCCUACAUGGACACAUGUUUAUGUACCUAUAUUUGCCCGUUGUGGUCGCCGUUGCGUUAAUCAUACAGUAUACAAAUGUUGCCAUUUGUACAAACUUUAUUCGACCCCAUUGUCUCUACUAAACAGUUGCCGAUCAUUCAAUAGAGCAUUUAUGGUUUCUUCAAGUACUAAGUAAAGAAGAUGACUGGACCUUUGCUUGUUAACUGAUUGUCAUCUUUACCCACUAAUUAUUAUUUUGCCAUGUAAACGUGACGUUUGCUGAAGGGACAUUAACAAUUUUUUCGCUUUUCGCACCUGGCAAAAAUUCAGGCGUCGAUAGAAUCCAAAGCACAUCUUCCUCGCCAACGCCGACGGCCGGUCCUGUCGGUAAUGAUGAUGAACCGGGUGCGGCAGCUGGUAGCAGUACGCAGUGUACGCAAGGCGUUUUGACAGCCACAGAGAUCGAUGAUGGCCCAGAGGAAAUUGCUGUUGAAGCUUGAUAACGGAUCCCCUACCAAUGACGAAUGAGUAUCCGGCCUAACGGUUAGAUGACACAGAAGCGUCUUGCAUCGGACAUGGCUAGCAUAGAUAUAGUACGCUAAAUCCUCUGAGACACUCUCGUAGAAGCUAACACAUUUGUCCUCGUCGCUCAAAGUGCUUGCCGUGAUGUCGGCGAUCUGCAGGUGCCGUUGCUUCAGUCCUGCACUUAUCCUUUAAAUACGAAGGCGAGCUGCCCGAUAAACAAUCCACGUCAUAUACCGUAAUCCUUUCGACAGCUGCUUCUGCUACUGAGUCUUGCAGUCGAAACGCUUUCAAGAGACCUGAAGAUACAAACGGCAGCGAACGUAUAUACAAUUAAGCCAUUUUUCAGGAUAUAAUUACCUCUGUAUAGGAUGAAUCGAGCUAACCCAUUAAGCGAAACCCGUCAACCGGAAAUUUCUUGCCUAACAGAGGGUCUUUCAAGUCACACUUAGACGGUGCUAGCACCUUGCUUGAUACUUAUCCAAAGAUCGCUAUAUUAUCUUACAACCGGACCACCGUUACGGAAUCACUGUCGUUUUAUAUUGAAAUAGCAUAACGACGUUCAUUGGCGGUUGUAGAUGCAGCAUAGUGUAAGCGGUUGAUGACCACAGAAAAAUGUUGUGAACGUGGCUUGAGUCCAAAAACUCAGUGAACUUCUUUUUCUUUGACAAUUAUAACUGUAUAAAAGUGAACAUUUAUAAAUGCCAGCAAAACACUUAGGUGGUUUAUAGAAUCACCGAGCUCUCGAAAACGGCAAUAAUACCAGACACAAGUCAAACUGAUAUCUAAAUGCAUACAAUACAUGCAUAGACAGAACUGUCAUUUUUCACCCGGUUUGUAUAUAUUAUGACUUUUAAAUCGAUGAUAACAUAGCUAGAAUUCGUUAGACGACCGUAUUUCACGAACACCGCACGUGGUUGAGACACCUGUAGAGAAACGCGUCAGUGAUAACAGCAAUAUACAAUAUUUUCAUUCUAGAAAAGUUACCAUGAAAGCACACAAAAUAUAUCUGGUUGCUGGAAAUGUCAGUAUGUCUAUCACUUGUUACGUGGCAUAGGGUUUCAACGCAUAUCGGCUGGCAUCGUAUGGAACGACGGUCCAUAACACGGUCAAAUCGUUUUGGGUAUCCCAUGCGUGAUUGUUGAUCGAUUCAGACCUCGUUCAUGGAUGAUAAAGCAUGGCCUACAGCGUAGUCGGUGACCGUAUAAUGAUGCCGUCAUUUCAUUCUAUGUAUUAUCUAUACGAACAAUCUACACUUCCUUUGUUUAAGUGUACUUUGUCCAAAAGCCUACCAUCAAGCUCUGAUUAAGCUAUAUGCGUUAUAUAUGUAGAUACAUUUAUACAAUGGUACAUUUGUAGCAAUAAAUUUCAACAUUAUGCUGUGCAUCCUCAUUGUGCUGGCACGCCAUCGAAGGGGAGUGAGUAAAGAUUUUGACGUGUCUAUUUUCGGCCAUUCGCUGAUGAAAAAUGGGCCAGCUGGGUUUCAUCGAACUGCCGCUCGCAAUAGCGCUAUUACAGAUGUAAAAAUUAUAAUUCGAGUGGGGGAAAGAAGAUAUUCUCUUCUUAAGAACAUAUCCCCGACGCGCCGGCUACAACAGAUUUUCUUAAACAGACUAUAGACAGUGAUAAAUAGACACACCAAUACGUGGCAUUUAGGCAAAAAGGUCUGUUUCAAAAUUCUCUCUCUAAAUGCAGCCAGAGAAGUCGAGUUUUCGGUACUAGUCAAUGAGGACAAUGAACGAAGAUUCGCAAACGCUCAUUGCGCUGUUACUUGCAGCAGUCUUUCGAUGAUAUGCUAUGAGUGAUCCGCUUACAAUAUGUUGCAGUUUGUCGAAUUCCGCCACGAAACUUAUUUAUUUCAAUUUAAAAUUUAUAAUUUUAAAAAAUAAUUAAACACAAUGUGAGUUUUUAUCAUUGCGAGCAAAUGGGGCAAAGUCAUUGGCCAGAUUGAAUAAGGAAACGAAUCUGUGAUCUUCGACAGCAAACCCAUCCCUUCACCCGCGCCUUUCGAGCUAGCCACCGCCGAGCGCAUUGUAGAAAAUCAAGCUCUUAUUUUCAUGUUAAAAUGUCUUUGUCGCUUAUAAUUCUAGGUUUAUAUCAUUGUAGUAAACUAUAUUGCUAUUUUUGUCGCGCAAGCAUCCAUUGCGUUUUUCCUACAGUUUUCCAGAUUCUCCGAAAACAUCUCUAGGCACUAAAGGCCUUGUAUUUGUUUUAUGAAUUAUCAAGCCGUUGGCCGAUGAUAACAAAACAACGAUUUAUACGUGAGUCAAGGUAUCACAUACACGAUAGCUUGUUUAUAUAUAUAUAUAACGAUUGUUAAGUACAUCAUCAUUUGUUUGUUACAUAUUUAAAUAUUGACUUCUCUAUUAUAUAUACACAUGAAUAGAUUCAGACCUAUAAAUAUACAUGUGUACGAGAGUACUAUUUACGUUGCAUAAGGCAUGUGAAUAUAUAUAUAACAGGAUAAUUAGUAGUUAGCUCGUUUGACAGUGAGUGUUGCUAUGACGGCAACUUUGGCGUUGUUAAGAUGAGAAUCAUCAUCUGUUUGCUUAUUGGAUAAAGUAAGGGAACUGAUCUGGGUUCCGCCCUUCGCUGAUGUGAAUCUCAUCACGUUUUAUAGCUUCAACGAUAUAGUUAGCGUGAAAAUGCUUGCUAAUUACCUCGAUAUUUAAACUAAAUAAGAUACAUAAUACUGUUAAUAUUCGAAAAUCAUACAAUGAUUAUACUGGGUCAUCGGAGAGGCCGUUGCAGAGAGGCAGGAAAGCCUAGACUCACAAUUCAUUCAGGGCUAUAGAUGCCGUCUUUAAGUGUACGGUUUGCUCAUAACCACCCCUCAUCCUGCUUGAAACUAGUACAGAAGGAAAAUUGAAUAUAUUUUUUAGGUGUGCGCUGUCUUUGAAGGGUGAGCUAACAGGUAGGUAGAGCAGUGGGGAAUAUAUCGGACCGGACAGCACACUCUUAGCGGACGAUGUCUUCGCUUCCCUAAAGCAGCUUGUACGUAUAUGUAAGUACACUCCAUCUUAUCAUAUAAGUAAAGAUAUGUUUUAUCAGCCAAAUGCACAAGCAGGCCGGCUUGAAAAGAGCACUUUGUCUGAGCGCCGACUGAUAAUGCCGAUGCCUGUAGUAUUAUUUCCAACUAAAAAAAGCCAACGAUCUGUGUAGACAUUUGUCGAGCGCGUCCGCUGAGUGUUGACACAAUGUUUAAUCAUCGAAGCCCUGUAAUAUUUAGGAGAUUACAUUUUCAAACAAUUUUUAGGGUUUUUGCGUAUUUGCUACUCGUCGUUAAUAAAGCUCUAUGUCACCUUGAUAAUGUUCCCAAAGGAGACUCGACAUCUCAAAGUUAUUUAUCGUAUUAUUAAAAACGUUGGUACUUGAUGAAAAACGCCAAAGUGAUACGACAAUAUUUUAUAGGUCGUUUGAGAAAUGAAGACCUUAAGGCCAUUAGCCUUAACUCACAUUCUCUCAGACUGUAUAACGGUCAUAAGCGUAAUAACGUUUUUGACUAAAUCCUUUCAACAUGACACAUAAUAAUUGUUGCGGAUGAACAUGUACGUUAUUUACGAUACAAUAUUUAUUGCAAAUCGUACUGAAUAACCAUGUCGAAACGCUUUGCACCGGUUGUGAAAAGCGGUAAAAAAAAAAAAAAAACCACUAGGCAAAAGCCA